ensembl:miRNA
CCUGCUAAAGAGGUGCCAGCUGCAGUGGGGGAGGCACUGCCAGGGCUGCCUGCUCUGCAUAGUCAGCAGGAGCUGAGAACAGG